GAUGAACGCUGGCGGCGUGCCUAAUACAUGCAAGUCGAGCGAACGGACGAGAAGCUUGCUUCUCUGAUGUUAGCGGCGGACGGGUGAGUAACACGUGGAUAACCUACCUAUAAGACUGGGAUAACUUCGGGAAACCGGAGCUAAUACCGGAUAAUAUUUUGAACCGCAUGGUUCAAAAGUGAAAGACGGUCUUUCUGUCACUUAUAGAUGGAUCUGCGCUGCAUUAGCUAGUUGGUAAGGUAACGGCUUACCAAGGCAACGAUGCAUAGCCGACCUGAGAGGGGGAUCGGCCACACUGGAACUGAGACACGGUCCAGACUACUACGGGAGGCAGUAGUAGGGAAUCUUACGCAAUGGGCGAAAGCCUGACGGAGCAACGCAGCGUGAGAGAUGAAGGUCUUCGGAUCGUAAAACUCUGUUAUUAGGGAAGAACAUAUGUGUAAGUAACUGUGCACAUCUUGACGGUAACUAAUCAGAAAGCCACGGCUAACUACGUG
rnacentral:rRNA from 1 species